rnacentral:tRNA from 1 species
GGGGGCGAAUGGGGCCUGGUGGCCCUCCUGGUCUUCAAAACCAGUGUGGGGCGCGACGAGCGUCCCGGGUGGGUUCGAUUCCUACGCGCCCCCGCCA